GGGGUUGUGGCUCAGCAGUAGAGCACUCACUUUGCAUGUGUGAGGUCCUGGGUUCGAUCCACAGUACCA
rnacentral:tRNA from 1 species